CCUACGGGAGGCAGCAGUAGGGAAUUUUCGUCAAUGGGCGCAAGCCUGAACGAGCAAUGCCGCGUGAACGAGGAAGGUCUUCGGAUCGUAAAGUUCUGUUGAAGGGGAAAAAGAGCGGAGAGAGGAAAUGGUCUCCGAUUGAUAUUACCCUUCGAGGCAGUCACGGCUAACUACGUGCCAGCAGCCGCGGUAAUACGUAGGUGGCGAGCGUUAUCCGGAAUGAUUGGGCGUAAAGGGUGCGUAGGCGGCCUGCUAAGUCUGGAGUGAAAGGUACCGGUUCAACCGGUACAGGCUCUGGAAACUGGCGGGCUAGAGAGCAGGAGAGGGCGGUGGAACUCCAUGUGUAGCGGUAAAAUGCGUAGAUAUAUGGAAGAACACCAGUGGCGAAGGCGGCCGCCUGGCCUGUUACUGACGCUGAGGCACGAAAGCGUGGGGAGCAAAUAGGAUUAGAUACCCCGGUAGUC
rnacentral:rRNA from 1 species